rnacentral:misc_RNA from 1 species
ACUUGAUACCUGUCUUUGCAGUGCAAUCCAACAAAACCAGCUCAAGUAAGUGGUUUACAUAUUCUUAAUCUUUUGAUGUGUCAUAUGAAAUCUAACUGCACAAACAUGUCAAAUUAACAGAGAAAACUGAUAAAACAAAACAGCCUAUUGAAAAAAGUAAUUAAAAGCAUAUGUAAUUCACAGAUGGCUGCUAUUCAAGCCAGAAAAUGGCAC